rnacentral:rRNA from 1 species
UGGCGGACGGGUGAGUAACGCGUGGGUAACCUGCCUUGUACAGGGGGAUAACAGUUGGAAACGACUGCUAAUACCGCAUAAGCGCACAGUACCGCAUAGUACAGUGUGAAAAACUCCGGUGGUACGAGAUGGACCCGCGUCUGAUUAGCUUGUUGGUGGGGUAACGGCCUACCAAGGCAACGAUCAGUAGCCGACUUGAGAGAGUGAUCGGCCACAUUGGGACUGAGACACGGCCCAAACUCCUACGGGAGGCAGCAUG